UACGGGGGGGGUAAGCGUUGUUCGGAAUUACUGGGCGUAAAGGGCUCGUAGGCGGCCAACUAAGUCAUACAUGAAAUCCCUCAGCUUAACUGGGGAACUGCGUGUGAUACUGGAUGGCUUGGAUUUGGGAGAGGGAUGCGGAAUUCCAGGUGUAGCGGUGAAAUGCGUAGAUAUCUGGAGGAACACCGGUGGCGAAGGCGGUAUCCUGGACCAAUAUUGACGCUGAGGAGCGAAAGCUAGGGGAGCAAACGGG
rnacentral:rRNA from 1 species